AGAGACAAAUGAUUUCUCGCUUAAGAUAGGAAAAUCUGGUUAAUAUGUUCAAAUCCUCAUAUCGCAAGAAGAGUUUGAACUACUCAACUGAUCUUGUGCUAUUUAAAAACACUUAAAUCCGAGGGGGGGGGAAACUGGCCUUAAUAUAUUUAAUUUGCGCAUUUAAUGUAUUAAGGAAUUAUAUUCCUCUUGUCAACUAACAUUUGACAGCGCCCAACCUGCUUUGUCGAAAACAUUGAUUUGUUUUGCGUCUCCUUCGCGCACCCUCCUGUCAAGUUUGUGUUGAUUAUUUGAUCUUGGUCAAAAAUUUGGCAAAGCUGAUCAAUUUUUUUUUUUGUUUUCAAUUUGUUUUUGCGAAUGUUUCCGGAAGGAAUCAGUAAAUUUCUGUUGCUAGAAGCUGCAAAAGGUGAUCCAUCGUCCAUUUCCGCAUCUAGUUUUCAUCGAAGAUUUCGGAUUCUCGGAAAACCGGCAGCUUAUAACGAUCAUAGAGGCCUUGACCGUAUUCAUCUGAACUUCCUGCUGGGCCUGUUCGCCGCAGUUGCGCAUGUCUCCUUGCCGUUCCGUCGAAACCCGACAUCGAGAAGGUCCUGAGCUCGGUCGGUAUCGAGGCCGACUCAACCCGAGUCACCAAGGUGGUCAACGAGCUGAAGGGCAAGUCCGUCGUGAAACUGAUCGCUAGUAGCGAUUCGCUACCCGCCGCGAGAAGCUCUCCUGGAUGCCGUCCGGUGGUGCUGCCCUGGCCGCUGCCGCCAAGGAGAAGAAUAGAGCAAAAGAAGGAAAAGAGUUCGAAUCCGAGGAUGAUGACGACAUGGGAUUCGGUCUCUUUGAAUGAGGGAUUUCUUCGUGGCAACAUCGCCGGAUGGCUGCUGCCGGUUGCUUUGGCGUUUUAUCCACAAACAAAAAUUGUGCAUUUUUUGUAGUGCUUUUUUUUAUUCAGCUGCAUGCAAUUGUUUGAUCUGAAACAUCAAAUAAAGAAUCUUCUGCUUGUGUUUAUGCUCCCCAAUUUUAAGAAACCUUUGAGUCUCGCUUAGAGUUCAAUUUUAUUCGAGUUUCAUUUUUCAACUAUUUUUAUUUUUAUUUUUUUAAUCUCAACAUCUCACGUUCCAUUUCGACUGUGACCGCCACUAGAGUCUCAAGAUAGCUAAGUUCAUUUCCGCUGGAACUGUCCGGGUCGUCAGCUGGCAGAGGGGCCAGCACUGGUUGAACGAUCUGUUGUGGCGCGUUUUUCUCGCAGCUCGGCCGUGAGGCUUCCCAGCCGUCAUAAGGUUCAGAAGUCCCGCGGACUGUCCCACGGAAACGGGACAAGUUUCAACCGAUAAGGUCGAUGAAGAUCAGGAUGGCGAUUGGUAACGUCGCGGAGGCGGUCUUUGCUCAUCGAAACAUGCGUGGAAUCGUUCUUCUGAUGUUGGUCGUUCACCUUGAAGAAGUCUGAAAUAGGAAUAAGGAGUUACCCCUGGAAUUAGGAAUCCUCCACUGUUGCGUAUAAACGCAGAGUGGCGUUCUUUGUGUGUGCUUACGAUGACCUGGUGCCCGUGCUACUGCUUAAAGUAGAAUUAGAAAUAAACAACUGUUUGAAGCGAGCGGUAGUGCGGGCGCACCGAAGUCUUUGUAACGUGCGCAAAUUUGGAGUUUUCUUCACUUUGCCGUUCACGAAACCGGUGCCCGGAUCUGCCUGUCAAUCGCCGUUCGCAACAUUACAAAGACUUCGUGGCUGGGAUCAUCCCGAAGUUCAAAACCAGCGGACACGGCCUAUUGCAGCUGUUUCCCAGGGGAGUGGCGAGCUGGAACUCUUCCGUCUGGAUACGGAGCAAAGUAAGUGGGAGCCUGUGGACAAAGGGCAAUGGCGGUGCAGAAGGAACAUCCUCGCGACAGUCAGCACAGCGUCAGCAGUACACUUCCACCGAAGCUUACCAGCGGAGAGCAGUCUUUGCAUCGACCACGGCCUGCAAGAACCAGAUGUGCGAGAUGGUGGACGUGGCCGAUACUCACGCUGGAGUGUCGUCAUCAACGUCAGCGACCGGAGAGUGCGAAUCAGAAGCGGCUGGUUAAGACGACGACAACAACAAUGGGGUCGACGGAGCAGUUGUUUGCGCCAUCAAAUCCUGGAUCAAUGACGUCAAGAACACCAAGAAGAAGUUCGCUUAGCAACUCCGGAGCACGCCGAAGAAGUUGAUGUAAAACUACAGCUUAGGUGAAGCGGCAGUGUUACGGGGGGGAGUGUUGCGUAUAAACGCAGAGUGGCGUGCCCCUCGGACACUGCUGCUGAACUUCUUGUGUAUCGUUCUUUGUGUGUGCUUACGAUGACCUGGUGCCCGUGCUACUGCUUAAAGUAGAAUUAGAAAUAGACAACUGUUUGAAGCGAGCGGUAGUGCGGGCGCACCGAAGUCGUAAGCAUAUUGUGUAUUUGUGAAACUAUCUGUAAUUGACUAAUAAAUAAUUUUAGUUUGUAACGUGCGCAAA